rnacentral:misc_RNA from 1 species
UAAAAUAUGGUAUUUUUUUACCUAUUCAGAUGAUAAUAAUGCCUGAAUGACCUGUCAAAUAAAGUUAUUUUUGAUCUGUUUGUGUUUAACCCGGCAAUGAUUUGACAGGUCUGUUUCGACAAGGCAUCUGUGGCUUGGCUAAAGACAGUUAAAGAAAAACUUAAUUUGUUUGGGAAAAUUAUUAAAAUACCAUCUUUCCUAGUUGUAGGGCGUAAUUGGAAAAAUGUCCGACGACGAUUUUAUGUGCGAUGAUGAAGAGGACUAUGGUCUGGAAUACUCUGAAGACAGCAACUCCGAACCAGAUGUAGACUUGGAGAACCAGUACUAUAACAGCAAAGCCCUUAAAGAAGAGGAGCCAAAAGCUGCUCUAUCAUCAUUUCAGAAAGUACUAGACCUAGAAGGAGGAGAGAAAGGGGAAUGGGGCUUUAAAGCUCUGAAACAGAUGAUUAAAAUUAAUUUUCGUUUAUGUAAUUAUGAUGAAAUGAUGGUGAGGUACAAACAGCUUCUGACUUAUAUAAAAAGUGCUGUCACUAGAAACCAUAGUGAAAAAUCUAUUAAUUCAAUAUUGGAUUAUAUCUCUACAUCAAGAAAUAUGGAGUUACUUCAAAAUUUUUAUGAAACAACUUUAGAAGCACUAAAGGAUGCAAAAAAUGAUCGGCUGUGGUUUAAGACAAAUACUAAACUAGGCAAACUGUACUAUGAUAGAGGAGAUUUUAAUAAAUUGGCCAAAAUACUUAAGCAGCUGCAUCAGUCAUGCCAAACGGAUGAUGGAGAAGAUGAUCUGAAGAAAGGCACCCAAUUGCUUGAGAUUUAUGCUCUAGAAAUUCAAAUGUACACUGCUCAGAAGAACAAUAAGAAAUUGAAGACAUUGUAUGAGCAGUCCUUACAUAUAAAGUCUGCUAUACCUCAUCCAUUAAUCAUGGGAGUUAUAAGAGAAUGUGGGGGCAAAAUGCACCUUCGAGAGGGUGAGUUUGAGAAAGCACAUACAGAUUUUUUUGAGGCAUUUAAAAAUUAUGAUGAAUCAGGCAGUCCCAGGAGAACAACUUGUUUAAAAUAUUUGGUUUUAGCUAAUAUGCUAAUGAAGUCUGGGAUAAAUCCAUUUGAUUCUCAAGAAGCCAAGCCAUACAAAAAUGACCCUGAAAUCUUAGCAAUGACGAAUUUAGUAACUGCUUAUCAAAACAAUGACAUUAAUGAAUUUGAGUAUAUUCUGAAGCAAAACAGACAAAACAUUAUGGAUGAUCCGUUUAUCAGAGAGCAUAUUGAAGACUUGUUGAGAAAUAUUAGAACCCAAGUCCUAAUAAAGCUAAUCAAGCCUUAUACUAGAAUACAAAUUCCAUUUAUAUCGACAGAACUGAAUAUUGAUGUUCAAGAAGUAGAAAGCUUACUUGUUGCAUGUAUAUUAGAUAACACUAUUCAAGGUAGAAUCGAUCAAGUAAACCAAGUCCUAUUCUUAGAAAGAACAACUAUUAAUACAGCUAGAGAGACAUCACCAUACAAGAGCCUAAAGAGUAUUUUCCAGCAGUUCAAUUCCAUGUCUCUUUAAUAACGUGUUCGUAAUGAUGUCAUAGCAAACGAUAUUUUAAAAACGCAAGCGGUUUCCACCAUAGCCAUAAUACUUGUUCCCAGAUUUCCCCAAUCAUAUCCAGUUCACGCUUUCCGAAUGCUAAGCACUGUUUUGGAAACAUCAUCCUACUUUUUUUCAAAUAUAGUAAAAAAUACGAGGUUUGGAAAAAAGUUAAUGUUAAGCAGUAUUGAAAACAACCGGCUGUACUGGGCAUUUUUUUAAAAAUACCACUGUCAAAACAAAAGGGUGGGUUCUUUUUGAAAAGAAAGUUUUUAUAUUUGUUUUUUUUUAAAUUACGCAAAUUACUUAAAGAAUCACUCACUAACUGCCACUUAAGCAAAAAAAUUUAAAAAGGCUAAAGUGGUAGAAAAAUAUUUUACUGUGGCAUCAUCUCUCACCAAAAAGCUGCUUUUUUUUAUGAACUAAAUAUGUUUUAUGAUAUAAAGAAUCACCUUAAGUGAGGUUUUUCUUUAUAGGUGUUUUAGGUUUUUCUUUAUAGGUGAUUCUUUAUAUUCACUCAUCUGAAUGAUGUUUUUUUGCAUGUUUUUUCGUUUAAAACAUGUUUUAUGUCUUCUUAUCUAAGAAGUUAUUUUUUUGUGUAUUUAACUUUUUAUUCAAUAAAAUUCUUUUAUUAUGA